UCGGGAAUUUUGGGCAAUGGGCGAAAGCCUGACCCAGCAACGCCGCGUGAAGGAUGAAGUAUUUCGGUAUGUAAACUUCACAAGAAUGGGACGAAUAAGUGGGGGAUAACACCCCCCAUGAUGACGGUACCAUUUGUAAGCUCCGGCUAACUCCGUGCCAGCAGCCGCGGUAAUACGGGGGGAGCAAGCGUUGUUCGGAUUUACUGGGCGUAAAGGGCGCGUAGGCGGCGCAACAAGUCGAUUGUGAAAUCUCCGGGCUUAACUCGGAGCGGUCAAUCGAUACUGUCGUGCUAGAGUGCGGAAGGGGCUACUGGAAUUCUCGGUGUAGCGGUGAAAUGCGUAGAUAUCGAGAGGAACACCUGCGGCGAAGGCGGGUAGCUGGGCCGACACUGACGCUGAGGCGCGAAAGCUAGGGGAGCGAACGG
rnacentral:rRNA from 1 species